GUGAGGAAUAUUGGUCAAUGGGCGGGAGCCUGAACCAGCCAAGUCGCGUGAAGGAAGAAGGAUCUAUGGUUCGUAAACUUCUUUUGCAGGGGAAUAAAGUGCAGGACGUGUCCUGUCUUGUAUGUACCCUGAGAAUAAGGAUCGGCUAACUCCGUGCCAGCAGCCGCGGUAAUACGGAGGAUCCGAGCGUUAUCCGGAUUUAUUGGGUUUAAAGGGUGCGUAGGUGGUUUGAUAAGUCAGCGGUGAAAGUUUGCAGCUUAACUGUAAAAAUGCCGUGGAAGCUGUCGGACUUGAGUGUAGAUGAGGUAGGCGGAAUGCGUGGUGUAGCGGUGAAAUGCAUAGAUAUCACGCAGAACUCCGAUUGCGAAGGCAGCUUACUAAGCUACAACUGACACUGAAGCACGAAAGCGUGGGGAUCAAACAGGAUUAGAUACCCGUGUAGUCC
rnacentral:rRNA from 1 species